rnacentral:snRNA from 1 species
AAGUGUUACAGCUCUUUUAGAAUUUGUCUAGCAGGUUUUCUGUUUUUUCACCAGAAAAUACUCCC